AUAAGCGGAGGAAAAGAAACUAACAAGGAUUCCCCUAGUAACUGCGAGUGAAGCGGGAAAAGCUCAAAUUUAAAAUCUGGCGGUCUCUGGCCGUCCGAGUUGUAAUCUAGAGAAGUAAUGCCCGUGCUGGACCGUGUAUAAGUCUCCUGGGAUGGGGCGUCAUAGAGGGUGAGAAUCCCGUCUUUGACACGGACUACCAGUGCAUUGUGGUAUGCUCUCAAAGAGUCGAGUUGUUUGGGAAUGCAGCUCAAAAUGGGUGGUAAAUUCCAUCUAAAGCUAAAUAUUGGCGAGAGACCGAUAGCGAACAAGUACCGUGAGGGAAAGAUGAAAAGAACUUUGGAAAGAGAGUUAAACAGUACGUGAAAUUGCUGAAAGGGAAACGCUUGAAGUCAGUCGCGUUGGCCGGGGAUCAGCCUUGCUUUUGCAUGGUGUACUUUCUGGUUGACGGGUCAGCAUCAAUUUUGACCGCUGGAAAAAGACCUGGGGAAUGUGGCAGCUUCGGCUGUGUUAUAGCCCCUAGUCGCAUACAGUGGUUGGGAUUGAGGAACUCAGCACGCCGCAAGGCCGGGUUUCGACCACGUUCGUGCUUAGGAUGCUGGCAUAAUGGCUUUAA
rnacentral:rRNA from 1 species